CAGCGAUUAGGUCGGGAACUCAAAGGAGACUGCCAGUGAUAAACUGGAGGAAGGUGGGGAUGACGUCAAGUCAUCAUGGCCCUUACGACCAGGGCUACACACGUGCUACAAUGGCGCAUACAAAGAGAAGCGACCUCGCGAGAGCAAGCGGACCUCAUAAAGUGCGUCGUAGUCCGGAUUGGAGUCUGCAACUCGACUCCAUGAAGUCGGAAUCGCUAGUAAUCGUGGAUCAGAAUGCCACGGUGAAUACGUUCCCGGGCCUUGUACACACCGCCCGUCACACCAUGGGAGUGGGUUGCAAAAGAAGUAGGUAGCUUAACCUUCGGGAGGGCGCUUACCACUUUGUGAUUCAUGACUGGGGUGAAGUCGUAACAAGGUAACCGUAGGGGAACCUGCGGUUGGAUCACCUCCUUACCUUAAAGAA
rnacentral:rRNA from 2 species